GCACUAUUAAGUGCACAGCUGCCUGUCAUCAUGCAUUAUCAUGCAUUCUGUGCAUAGAAAUAGGAAAUAUCAGCAUUCGGCUGCUUUGGUGGCCUAGUAUGUGCUCUUUAUAUGGGAGAGAUAAAAAAGGAAAAAAGAAAUUGCAUUAUUUUGCAGCAAUAAAGCUUACUCUGCAAUUCAUAUAAUGUAGAAGAAAUCUCAUUUAUCAAUGUCUGUGAAGAAGCCUAGCCUGAUGGACUCAUCCUUUCAUGAUUUCAGCUCUUGCAGAUCAUGAUUCUACACCUGGGUAAAUAACUUCAAAUGGAUUAAAGUGAUGCCUGCAAAUGAUCUUUGGAACAAAGGAUCCAAAAUUUCCAGCAACCUCGGGAUUUCUCCAAAUCCAAGAGAUUUCCAAUAAAACAUGAAAGUCAAGUCACAAGAUAAAA